GUCGCUGUUGCCAUCUCCCACCUAACCCACAAACAAACAUUAAUGGUUUAACGACACUACAUGACGUUAAAUUAUGGCAGUUAUCGACUAUUAUAUCUGUGACCGUAGUUUGUUUGUAAAGCGUCAUAGACUAACGGGGCAUCAAUUCUGUUAUAACAAGAUAAUCUCAUUGAAGAGGAGAAACAGAAUAGACAAUCCAAUUAUGAAAAUUUAGUAAAUUAAAAUUAAAAUAAACAUUAGUUAUGUUUUAAUGGAAUUACAAGGAAUUGGGUACGUGAGAUUUCAUGUUAUAGCAUAAAAACAGAUUGAUGCGCAGAAUAGAACAGACAACAGUCCUCAAAAAAUGUUUUCGGGACCAAAAUCUAAAAUGAACGCAAGUCAAACCAGUUUUCACUUUCAAAACAGGGCAAUUUUUUUAUUUUUAUUUGAAAAAACUCUUUAAAAGAUCUACUUUGAGGUGUGAAAGGUACCUCCCCAUAGAGAACA
rnacentral:misc_RNA from 1 species